rnacentral:lncRNA from 1 species
UCCCCGGGGCUGGUGGUCCUGGCUUCUAUAAGAAAGCAGGUUGAGCAAGCCAUAGGGAGCAAGCCAGUGAGCAGCUCCCCUCCGUGGCCUCGGCAUCAGCUCAGGUUCCUUCCGCCUUUGAGUUCCUGUCCUGACUUUCUUCAAUGAUGAGCAGUGAUUUGAAAGCUUAAGCCAAAUAAACCGCUUCCUCUCCUCCACAUUGCUUUGGUCAUGGAGUUUCAUCACAGCAAUAGAAACCCCAACUCGCACAGCAGCCACGGUGUUUGCUUUUUCUGAGUGCUACGUCCUUCUAGUAACGACCUGCUACACUUCACUCGACAGUCUCCAUGUAGUGUGUGCAGUUAUAAGUGCUUUUGAAACCACUUUUUCUGUGGUUACGGCCUAUGUGUACCGUGUGCGUGCCUGGUUGGAGGAGGCCAGAGAAAAGAGUUGGAUCCCGCUGGAACUGAAAGGACAGUUAUGAGCCACCAUGUGGGUGCUGGGAACUGGAGCCAGGUCUUCUGAAGAAGCAGCAAGUAUCUCUCCAGCCCCUCAUCACUCUGAAUAUAAAGCACAUGUUCAGGCUGGUGGGAGAGCACAGUGACAAAGGCGCUUGCCUCUAAACCUGAGGACCCAAGUUCAAUCCCUGAGACCUCAUGGCAGAAGGAGAGAACCAACUUGAAAGAUGUACUUAUAUGUGUGUGGAUGCUUUGCCUGCUAUGGAUGUACGUCGGACACAUUGGUGCCUGGUACCUGCAGGGGUCAGAAAAGCUCCGUGAUCCCUGCGAAUUAUAGUCACAGGCAGUCGGGAGCCACUACGCGGGUGCCGGGGACUGAACCAGGGUCCCCUGCAAGAGCAGGUGGUGCUCUUAACCCUGAACUCUCUCUCCAGUCCCAUGUACACUCACUUACUCAAGGCGACAGCAGAGUGUCCUAGAGCGCCCACACGGAGGAUGACCAGCGGAGGCC